AUUGAACGCUGGCGGCAGGCCUAACCCCUGCAAGUCGAACGAGUGGCGGACGGGUGAGUAAUGUCUGGGAAACUGCCCGAUGGAGGGGGAUAACUACUGGAAACGGUAGCUAAUACCGCAUACCAUCGGAUGUGCCCAGAUGGGAUUAGCUAGUAGGUGGGGUAACGUCUCCCCUAGGCGACGCUCCCUAGCUGGUCUGAGAGGAUGACCCGCCACACUGGAAAGGAGACACGGUCCAGACUCCUACGGGAGGCAGCAGUGGGGAAUAUUGCACAUUGGGCGCAAGCCUGAUGCAGCCAUGCCGCGUGUAUGAAGAAGGCCUUCGGGUUGUAAAGUACUUUCAGCGGGGAGGCGUUACUCGCAGAAGAAGCACCGGCUAACUCCGUGAAAGCAGCCGCGGUAAUUC
rnacentral:rRNA from 1 species